rnacentral:rRNA from 1 species
UACGUAGGGGGCAAGCGUUGUCCGGAUUUAUUGGGCGUAAAGCGCUCGCAGGUGGUUCGAUGCGUCGUGCGUGAAAGCCCCCGGCUCAACUGGGGAGUGUCGUGCGAUACGGUCGAACUGGAGGCCAGUAGGGGGGUGCGGAAUUCCGGGUGUAGUGGUGGAAUGCGUAGAGAUCCGGAGGAACACCAGCGGCGAAGGCGGCAUCCUGGACUGGUCCUGACACUCAUGAGCGAAAGCGUGGGGAGCGAUCCGG